UUGGUAAUCCUAGAAACUGCUCAGAUGGACCUCGCAUAAAAGAAGCCUCACAAGGUUCCGUUGGAAGGGGAAGUUUCCCAUGAUUGUAUCUGCAGACGGAUUCCUAACUGCGUAAUGGGCGCUACUGGUUUGCACCCCAAGGCGAAGGCGCUGAAAAUGCUCCUGUCACCUUAGAUCUCAGUGAUGAACGACAGGAGGAGGAGUAGACACUAACGUUGCAACAGUAGAUGCCUUUUCUUCUGCCUCUGUGACAGGUUUUCAGAAGUGGAAAGGACCGCAUUUAGACACUAGCCAAACCAUGAGUUUUCAAUAACCUAUGGACACCGUUGAGGACUCAUUGAAUGUGGCUAUAAGUGUGGUCAAGUAAUGAAAACUGAUCAGCUGAGGGAGGAAAAAGACAAAAGUGGAUGACCAAAAUGAAGCUCCAGAAUCUUUCGAGGACUGCCUAUGUUUCCUGUUUUGGAUUAGGAAAAUGUGGCACAUAUACACCAUGGAAUACUACACAGCCAUAAAAAAUGAUGAGUUCAUGUCCUUUGUAGGGACAUGGAUGAAACUGGAAACCAUCAUUCUCAGCGAACUAUCGCAAGGAUAAAAAACCAAACACCGCAUGUUCUCACUCAUAGGUGGGAACCGAACAAUGAGAACACGUGGACACAGGAAGGGGAACAUCACACUCCGGGGACUGUUGUGGGGUGGGGGUAGGGGGGAGGGAUAGCCUUAGGAGAUAUACCUAAUGCUAAUGAUGAGUUAAUGGGUGCAGCACACCAACAUGGCACAUGUAUACAUAUGUAACAAACCUGCACAUUGUGCACAUGUACCCUAAAACUUAAAGUAUAAUAAUAAUAAAAUGUAAAAAAUUAAUUAAUUAAUUAAAAAAUAAACAACAAAUUUAAAAAAAAAAAAGAGAUACC
rnacentral:lncRNA from 1 species